CCCUUAGAUGUUCUGGGCUGCACACGUGCUACACUGGCAGGUUCAGCGAGCUUCAUGCCCUGAUCUGAAAGGAAUGGGAAAUCUUUUCAAAACCUGCCGUGCUUGGGAUAGAUGUUUGCAAUUAUUCAUCUUCAACGAGGAUUGCCUUGUAAGCGCACGUCAUCAGCGUGCAUUGAAUACGACCCUGUAUUCUGUACACACCGCCCGUCGCUCCUACCGAUUGAAGUUUUCGGUGAGUUGACAGGAGGAUUUUUUUGAAACUGGUUCGCCAGUGGAAUUUAGAUCCAAAUGCCAACGAAUCGAUGGCUUUAGAGGAAGGAGAAGUCGUAACA
rnacentral:rRNA from 1 species